CAGGCAGAGAAGGUCCAUGCUUGCUGGCAGAAGUGUGUAGCAGCUACAGGAGGACAAUGUUCAUGGUGUCACAAGGUCACGGCAGGAGAAGAUACCUGCUUUGGGACUUACGCAAAUAAGUGCUGAGCUAAACUGUUUUUGCCGAAGCUCGACCAGUAAACACUCCCCUUAACAGGUAGUCCAGGAUUAUCUUGAAUAUUCCCUGCUCCAAUCCUGUAACCAACCAUUUCUCUGAGAAUGCCUAGCUCCCCGUAUUGGAGGAUGGUGUUUACAAACC